UCAGGAAUAUUGGGCAAUGGGCGAAAGCCUGACCCAGCAACGCCGCGUGAAGGAUGAAGGCCUUCGGGUCGUAAACUUCUGUCGAGAGGGAAGAAUGCGUACGGGUGAAUAAUCCGUGCGUUUGACGGUACCUCCAAAGGAAGCACCGGCUAACUCCGUGCCAGCAGCCGCGGUAAUACGGAGGGUGCAAGCGUUGUUCGGAUUCAUUGGGCGUAAAGCGAGUGUAGGCGGUUUGACAAGUCGGAUGUGAAAUCCCGGGGCCCAACCCCGGAACUGCAUCCGAUACUGUCUGGCUAGAGUCCCGGAGAGGGUGGCGGAAUUCCCGGUGUAGGGGUGAAAUCCGUAGAUAUCGGGAGGAACACCAGUGGCGAAGGCGGCCACCUGGACGGUGACUGACGCUGAGACUCGAAAGCGUGGGUAGCAAACAGGAUUAGAUACCCUGGUAGUCCACGCUGUAAACGGUGAGUGCUCGUCGUCGUGGGUAUUGACCCCUGCGGUGACCAAGUUAACAC
rnacentral:rRNA from 1 species